rfam:Anaerostipes sp. 992a contig000012, whole genome shotgun sequence.
GGUUAAGAUAAUAAGAGCGCAGGGUGGAUGCCUUGGCACUAAGAGCCGAUGAAAGACGUGAUAAGCUGCGAAAAGCUGCGGGGAGGAGCAAAUAUCCCAUGAUCCGCAGAUAUCUGAAUGGGGAGACCCGGCCAGGAAGACCCUGGUCACUGCAUGGUGAAUCCAUAGCCAUGCAGGGGGAACCCGGUGAACUGAAACAUCUAAGUAGCCGGAGGAAGAGAAAGAAACAUCGAUUUCGUAAGUAGCGGCGAGCGAACGCGAAAGAGCCCAAACCGGAAUGCGUGCAUUCCGGGGUUCGGACUGCAUACGGUAUUGGCAGAAGAUAGGAGAAAGGUUUUGGAAAAGCCUGCCGGAGAGGGUGAGAGCCCCGUAUCCGAAAUCAGGAGCCAGCCAGCAGGAUCCAGAGUACCACGAGACACGUGAAACCUUGUGGGAAUGAGCGGGGACCACCCCGUAAGGCUAAAUACUACUUAGUGACCGAUAGCGCAUAGUACUGUGAAGGAAAGGUGAAAAGGACCCCGGGAGGGGAGUGAAAGAGAACCUGAAACCCUGUGUUUACAAGCUGUGGAACUAUUUUAAAGUAGGACCGCGUACUUUUUGUAGAACGGUCCGGCGAGUUGCCACUGCUGGCAAGGUUAAGUGCCAGAGGCACGGAGCCGAAGGGAAACCAAGUCUUAAUAGGGCGAAAGUCAGCAGGGGCAGACCCGAAACCGGGUGACCUAUCCAUGUCCAGGUUGAAGCUGCCGUAAGAGGCAGUGGAGGACCGAACCCACAUCCGUUGAAAAGGGUGGGGAUGAGGUGUGGAUAGCGGAGAAAUUCCAAUCGAACCCGGAGAUAGCUGGUUCUCCUCGAAAUAGCUUUAGGGCUAGCCUCAUGAUAGUCUGCUGGAGGUAGAGCACUGAAUUGCCUAGGGGGCGUCAAAGCUUACCAAAGCAUAUCAAACUCCGAAUGCCAGACAGAUGUUUCAUGGGAGUCAGACCAUACGAGAUAAGUUGGAUGGUCAAAAGGGAAAGAGCCCAGACCACCGGCUAAGGUCCCAAAGUGCGUGUUAAGUGGAAAAGGAUGUGGGAUUUCGAAGACAACUAGGAUGUUGGCUCAGAAGCAGCCAUUCAUUCAAAGAGUGCGUAAUAGCUCACUAGUCGAGAGGUCCUGCGCCGAAAAUGUCCGGGGCUGAAACACGACACCGAAGCCGUGGAAUCACGUAGUGAUUGGUAGAGGAGCAUUCUUAAACGGUGGAAGCUGUACCGGAAGGAGCAGUGGACGGUUAAGAAGAGAGAAUGCCGGAAUGAGUAGCGAGAAAGAAGUGAGAAUCUUCUUGGCCGAAUAUCUAAGGUUUCCAGAGUAAAGCUGAUCUGCUCUGGGUAAGUCGGGGCCUAAGGCGAGGUCGAAAGACGUAGUCGAUGGAUAACAGGUUGAGAUUCCUGUACCGCAUGAAAUCAGAACUGUGGGGACACAGACAGGAAGAGGGAGCCGGGAAUGGAAAGUCCGGUCCAAGCGAGGUAGGAGUACCGCCGGCAAAUCCGCGGUGCGAUCCGAAGACGUGACGGGGAGCGAACAUAAGUAGCGAAGCCCUUGCCCCUGGCUGUCAAGAAAAGCCGCUAUCGUAUUUCAUGUGCCCGUACCGUAAACCGACACAGGUGGAUGAGGAGAGAAUCCUAAGGCCGACGGGAGAAGUGUUGUUAAGGAACUCGGCAAAAUGGCCCCGUAACUUCGGGAGAAGGGGUGCCUGCGAGAGCAGGCCGCAGAGAAUUGGCCCAAGCAACUGUUUAGCAAAAACACAGGUCUAUGCAAAACCGCAAGGUGAAGUAUAUGGGCUGACGCCUGCCCGGUGCUGGAAGGUUAAGGGGAGGGCUUAGAGCAAUCGAAGGUCUGAACUUAAGCCCCAGUAAACGGCGGCCGUAACUAUAACGGUCCUAAGGUAGCGAAAUUCCUUGUCGGGUAAGUUCCGACCCGCACGAAAGGCGUAAUGAUUUGGGCACUGUCUCAACAACACACCCGGUGAAAUUGAAAUACCAGUGAAGAUGCUGGUUACCCGCGCCAGGACGGAAAGACCCCAUGGAGCUUUACUCUAGCUUGAUACUGGGAUUCGGUACUGCAUGUACAGGAUAGGUGGGAGACGUGGAAUCAUGGACGCCAGUCCAUGAGGAGUCGCUGUUGGGAUACCACCCUUGCAGUAUUGGAUUUCUAACCAGCAGCCGUGAUCCGGCUGGGGGACAAUGUCAGGUGGGGAGUUUGACUGGGGCGGUCGCCUCCGAAAGGGUAUCGGAGGCGCUCAAAGGUUCCCUCAGAAUGGUCGGAAACCAUUCGCAGAGUGCAAAGGCAGAAGGGAGCUUGACUGUGACACCGACGGGUGGAGCAGGUACGAAAGUAGGACUUAGUGAUCCGGUGGUAUAAAGUGGGAUUGCCAUCGCUCAACGGAUAAAAGCUACCCUGGGGAUAACAGGCUUAUCACUCCCAAGAGUUCACAUCGACGGAGUGGUUUGGCACCUCGAUGUCGGCUCAUCGCAUCCUGGAGCUGUAGCAGGUUCCAAGGGUUGGGCUGUUCGCCCAUUAAAGCGGUACGCGAGCUGGGUUCAGAACGUCGUGAGACAGUUCGGUCCCUAUCCGGCGUGGGCGCAGGAGAUCUGAGAGGAGCUGUCCUUAGUACGAGAGGACCGGGAUGGACGGACCGCUGGUGUAUCUGUUGUCGUGCCAACGGCAUAGCAGAGUAGCCAAGUCUGGAAGGGAUAAACGCUGAAGGCAUCUAAGCGUGAAGCCCCCCUCAAGAUGAGAUCUCCCAUUCUUCGGAAGUAAGACCCCUUGAAGACGACGAGGUAGAUAGGGCAGGGGUGGAAGUGCAGCAAUGCAUGGAGCUGACUGUCACUAAUCGGUCGAGGUCUUAACCAG